ACACAGUAGCGGAUCCUUUUGUACCAUAACAUUUUUUGGGGUGGGUGGGCAGGAUAACUACUCUGUGUUAUAAUUAUUUUAUGACAGAAAGUUUGUUAUAUUGUAUUUUCAGUUAACCAGGAUAUCUUAUGCUGAAUCAGCUCCUCAGGGGCCUCACAAUUUUCAAAAAGUCUGAGAUCCUGUUGCCUGGGCCAGUGGAUAGCAGGUUAAACCUUUGGCACAUUUCUCACCCUCCAGGAAAGAGGUGGUGCUGUCUCAGGACCAGGCCUAGUCCAGAAGGUUUCAGCGGUGCAUACUGAACGAGAUACGGAAGAAGUGGGCAGGGAGAGACCUUUCAGACUUCUGCUCUCUGAAGUUCUAGGCUAUUAAUUAUAUCUGAGGCUCUAGGAACCUUUUAGAGGCAUCUUGGGAUUCUUUGUAGGGAGCAGAGGAGGAAUGCAAUUAUUCAACUUCAUAUUGCAAGUGGAGACUUUAACAUUGGCAGGGUUCAAGUCUCAAGCAUGUUCAGAAACCUAAAUGUUUGGACAAUACCAAAUUGCUAAGGGGAGGACAGGUAGCUGGAGCCACCAGCACUGAGGACAUACAAUGUUUCUGGCAAUGCUGACACUUUCCUCUUGUGAAGGGAGGACUGGGUGCACCGGCUUAGAAUCUGAAUACACAUAUGUCACUGUGUUAGCUAUUAAUAAGUAUCACUGUUAAUAGCUAACAAUUAUUGAAUGCUUACUCUAUGUCAAGUAUUCCACAUGCGUUCUUCCAUUUAAUACUGAUAACAAUCAUGUGAUAUAGGGUCUAUUAUUAUCCCCAUUUUACAAAUAAAGAGACUAUGGUUGGUUAACUUGUCCAAGCUCACAGAGCUACUGAGUAGCAGAGUUGGGACUCGAGUCCUAUCACAAUGUCUCCUGCCAAUCACCACACCAUGCCAUCUUCAGUCUCUGCACAAUCUUCUUCUAUUUGCUAAUGGAGGGGAUUAAAAAAAGAUCAAUUAUACAACACUGACUAAUGCAUAACACUGGGUGUCUAUAACUGUUCUCCUCAAGGAAAUAGUGUAAUCAUUUUGCAACUUCACACAGCAAAGAAAGAUGUGCUUUGCUCUGUGCAUUAGAGCCAGGCCUUGCCAUUUGCAAAACUUCAUCCCAUCAUCUCCUUGGAUAGUGAGGAUGGUCCUGGAAGUUACUGAGCAACACACUGCUCCCCUCUCCCCCUUAUCUCCCACAGGCCUCAC
rnacentral:lncRNA from 1 species